UUUUAUCUCAAGUCUCAAACGUCAAGUUUCAAAUUUGUAAUACCUUUCGUACCAAUUAGUGGUUUGGUUUUCAAGUUUUUGCAUAAAAUUUCUGUCCUUCACUGAUUUAACUGAGAAUUAUAUGCUAAUUGAAUAUGUUAAUUAGUUUUUGAACUUCAUGUUUCAGCUUUAUGGUAACACUUUUAAUUUGCUUAAACACUUUGUCUCACUGAUCAACCCGAGAUUUAGCUUUGAGUUGUGGGCAUAUAUUGGUUUGCAGAUAUUUUCUUCUAAUUAUGAAAGUUGACUUUGGAGGCGUUGAACAUGUGAGUCAGUCUCCACGUCAAUCUAACCGUAGCAAUGAAUAGACAUGAACCCCAAAUGCCCUUGCUCUUUUUAUAAAAUCAGUUACUUUUCUCCUGUCUAAAUUUCUAUUAAGCUUUGUAUUCUUAUGGGUUUGGAAGGCUGCAAUCACACAUUCGAUAAAUGAUGCAGGUAUUCUUAUGAGUGUGCAGUUCCUUCGACGUGCAAAUUACGGGGAAGAAAGUCAUGGCUGGUGUUAUCUUUGCAAGCCCUCUGGACGCAACACUCAGGCGGCGGCAUUCAGACCGAAGUUAGUUCUAGAGCUUGGGAUUCAUUGCUCAAAAGCAAUUUCAAUAGUCUUAAGUUGAGUGUUUUGUGUUUAUAACAAACUCCAGUUAUGGAGAUCAUUGUGAAAGUGCAUUGCUUUAGUGUUGUUUUCUGCUGUCUACAUACCUUACUUACAUCUUACAUAAUCUUUGUUUCAAGGACAAUGAUGCAUGUGGUGAAGAUCUUGAGGCUGUUGGCGGCAAUCUCUACCUUCAAGAUUGCUCUUUUUUUGGCUGCAGUUACUCUGCAAACUCAUACAUGGUUGAUACUGAUAUGCUUUGUAGUGUCUACUAAUGGUUGGAAUCAGGAUAAUGCAGUUUCCUACCUGUUCUCAAGAAGCAAUUGUCUUGCAGCAUGUACUUCACCACUCUCUUUUUUUCUUAUGUUGAUAAUGAUGAAUAUUUUACUAAUCUGUUUUAGCUGUAUUGCAGCUUAUUGCAGAGUAUUCAAUCUUUCCAUGUUUGAAUCAUCAUGUAAAUACACUUUUUUGAAUUAAAAAAAAACCAAAUUCUUAAUCAAAAUCAUCCUUGAAUUAUAAUUUAAAUGCAGUUCAUGAUUAGUUGUAUUUCUUAUUCUAAUUCUUAAGUGAUUUUUGCAAGAGCGUCAACUCUGCUUUCAUAUUAUAUGAGCAACAUUAUCAAAGUAUUAUAUAUGUCAUUGCUGGCACUUGCAUUCUCAGUUUGGGAAGUUGCCUCUUUUAUACCCAUGACCCAGGCUAAAAUCAUACCCUUAUGAGUUAACAGCUGGGUUAUACAGUUCUAAUGGUCAUGACAUGUCGACCAUACGAGACAACCUCAGAGAUCUUUGCAAAUCAAUAAAAUUUCUCAAUUUAGAAAACCUUCGUUAACAAGUUAGGGUUUAGGAUUGAUUUAAAUAAGAUAAUAUAUAUAAAGAUUAGUGAAUCAUGAAUAUAUUCAAUUAGGGUUUACAAUAUAUUUCAAUACUAAAAAAAAAUAAGAUAAGUGAAUAACUUUAUCAUAAUUAAUUUUUAAUUAAUUCUUUAUUCAAUAUUUUCACCAUUAUUUAUAUCUAUGUAUUUAUUAAUAUUAAAGAUUCAUCUAAAAUAUUUUUAAUUAUUCUAAAAUUAACAUAAAAUAUUUUAAUAUUUAUUAAAAUAUUACAAAAUUCAACUACCAUAAAGAAACAAAUUAAAUAUUAAAAGUGUUAAAAUUCUUAAAAAUCAUAUAUGUCAAUAUAAAAUAGAAAUAAGCUUUUUAUAUAUUAUAGUUACAAAAUUAUAAGAUGAAAAUUAUAAAUUUAUAAGCUGUUUAGAGCCUUUGAUUAAAUCAGUAAAUCACAUUACAAAGACUUUUUCAAAUUGUUACCUCGAGUCUAUUAAUAAUUUAAUAUAUCGUUUGAUUUGUCCAUCGUUUGUUUAUAGUGUUAUGUGAAAUAAAUGUGUGUAAAGAUCAAGGUUAGCGCAUCACCAAUCAAUGCAGUGAUUUUUUUUUACAAUUUUUAAAAAAAAUUCUAAUUUACUUCUCGCUAUUCCACCGUCUAAAGGUUAAGAAUAGUGAAAAUAUGUUUCUACUUCAACAUACAAACGAUAUUCCAAUACCAAUGACUAAUAUAUCUGCAUGUGUGUAAUGAAAUCUAUUCAAAGUACUUUUAUGUAGUAACUAACUAAAAAUGGAAUCGUUCGUAUUGAAAUCUACUACAGAUUUCACAUUUUCAUAAUAAAUAAUUUUACAAAUAAUAAAUGCCAAACAGUUUUAAUAUUAAAAAUAAAUGAUGGCUUCAAAACUUAAAUAAUUACUAAAUCAUUUUCAUGGGUCAUCAAUAUUUACAGAUUUCAAUAUUCAAAAUUAUUACACAUUUAUAAAAUUAUAUAUUUAUAUGAAGCAAAGGUUAUUUAACUAUACUUCAAAUAAUAAUUUAAAAAAUCAAUCAGAUGAUCUAUAAAAAUAUAUAUAAUAUACAUUAGAUAAUAGAAGACAUUUAUAUUUUAUUAAAUGUAGAGUAUUUUAAAUUUUAAGAAAGAAUAAAAUAUGAUUACUAAAAGAUUAAUAGAAACAUCUAAUAUGUUUAAGAUAAUAUAUAUAUAUAUAUUAAAAUAGAAAGUGAUGAUAUUUCUAAGAAAAAAAAUAAUCUUUCAAAAAAAUGAUAUAAUAUAAACAUUAAAAAACCUUUUAAAAAAAUCUAAGGUUUAAGUUAUAUUUAAUAUUAAAAUUAUAUAAAUUUUAUAGACAAACAAACCGCGUGUAGCGCGGUAAAAUAUCUAGUAUAAGUAAUAAUUAAAACAACCACUAUAAAAUGAUAAAUAAUAAUAUAGGCGGUAUACCGGCCAUUAUAGCAGAGUAAAUAUGAUACAUAUAAAUUUUACCGAAUCACAGAGUGAUCGUGCUGAUAACGUGUUAUAAAAUAACUUAUAAUUUUAUAGUAUCGAGAAAUUUAAAUAAGAGCGAAAUUUUAUACCCGCAGAAAAGAGAUACUACUAAUACAAGGUAAUAACGAGAGAGAAUAUGUUAUAAGAGGAAGAAGAGAUGGUGUGUUUUACAAUCGAACGAAAACGUUCGUAUAUAUAGAAGUAAAAAGAUAAAGUUACUGUGUGUGCAUAGUGACAGUGGGCUCCAUAUAUUUUACGUUCUCAUACAAUGUCAAUGUUUUCGGUGCAGCAAACAUUGACGUUUGUUCCAUCACGUUUAUAACAAUCAAAGCCUUGCUGAGGGCCACAUCAAGAUUUAAAGGUCAUUGCUAAGAGACAAAUCACAUACAACACAGCUUGAAAACAACAUCUUACCCAUGCGAAUUAAGAAGCAAAACAAACAAUUUAAAGUCUAACAAGACCUUGAGUGCUCAAACUUUUGAAGCUAAUGCAAAAUAAUCUCCAGCUUUAAUCACUAAGACCUUGUUUAUUACUAUUUAUAAGUAAAAUACAGGUUAUAUAUAUAUACCUAUUUGUAGAUAGAAAUGUUGCUCACUUAUUAAUAUGAACUAGAUGAUAACCCGCGCUCAUGCGCGAUGUGAGUUUUUUUUAAACUAAUGUUUGUUUAUUAAAUGGUUUUAACAUUUUGCAACACUACGAUCUUUAUCGAUUGUAACAUGACGAAUACAAAUGUUAGUCUCUUAAAUGUAUCAUCGUUGUUGAAGAGUUAACAUAUUACAACUCAUUUUACAUAUUUUUAAAACUUUAUAUGCACAAAAUAAAAUUAAGUUUUGUUGCUGACACAAAUCACCAAAACCAGAUAAACAACAUCGAUUGUAAAUUGACGAAAGUGGAUUAAGUUGUAUGCUCUUAAUUUGUUUACUAUUGACUCUCCAUAAGUGAUUUCAUUUUCUAUUUCGUUAUCAUUUAUGUUUCAAUGAUAUGAGUUUUUUUUUAAUUUAUUUUGUGAAUUCGGUGAAUUACAUAAGUGUCAAUUAAAAAAUAUGGACAUCUGUAAAAAUUAGUUUCACUCCAAAUACAUAUCUAAGAAUCAAAAUUUUAAAGAAAAUCACUGGUAAACUUUAUUUCACAUGUUAGCAUUCAAAUCAAAUAUAUGAAACUGUUAUAGAAUAUAAGUGCAGAACCAAAAUAUAAAUGUUUGUCUAGUAUAUUCACCAGUUCGGUCUAAAAAUCAUCUAAUUCUAAAACAACAAAAAAAUUAGUUAUUUUAUUAACCUACGCUUUUGAGGUUUAGCUACUUAAAAGUAUGCCGAUAAAAUAUAUAUAUAAUAUUUUACCAUUCUAGUAUAUGUAAAUUGUGUAUAAACCAAGAACUAUUUGAUUUAUUAAAUGAUAAACUAGAAAAAUUAUAAUAAAUAGUUUAAAAUAUUUUAUUCUUACAAUUAUAAUAGCUAGAUAGAGUAUUAAGAAGAAACAAAUAUUAGACGAAUGAUCA